GGACCCUUCAGAAGUACAUAUACUAAAAUUGGAAUGACACAAAGUUUAGCAUGACCCCUGAGCAAGAAUGACAGGCAAAUUCAAGAAGCAUUCCAUCUACCC